GACGAACGCUGGCGGCGUGCUUAACACAUGCAAGUCGAGCGAUGAAGCACCUUCGGAAAUGGAUUAGCGGCGAACGGGUGAGGAACACGUGAAGAAUCUGCCCUCCACUUUGGGAUAACACAGGGAAACCUGUGCUAAUACCGAAUAUUGAAACAUAAGUGGCAUCACUGAGUUUUGAAAGAAUUUCGGUGGAGGAUGACUUCGCGGCCUAUCAGCUAGUUGGUGAGGUAAUGGCUCACCAAGGCAACGACGGGUAGCCGGCCUGAGAGGGCGACCGGCCACACUGGGACUGAGACACGGCCCAGGCUCCUACGGGAGGCAGCAGUGGGGAAUAUUGGGCAAUGGAGGAAACUCUGACCCAGCGACGCCGCGUGCGGGAUGAAGGCCUUCGGGUUGUAAACCGCUCUCAGUAGGGAAGAAGGGAAAGUGACGGUACCUACAAAAGAAGCACCGGCUAACUAUGUGCCAGCCGCCGCAGUAA
rnacentral:rRNA from 1 species